rnacentral:rRNA from 1 species
CAUGCCUAACACAUGCAAGUCGAUCGGAAACGAUGGAAGCUUGCUUCCAGGCGUCGAGCGCCGGACGGGUGAAUAAUGCAUGGGAAUCUGCCCGGUAGUGGGGGAUAACGUGUGGAAACCCAUGCUAAUACCGCAUACGUCCUACGGGACAAAGGAGGGGAUCUUCGGACCUUUCCUUGUCGGAUGAGCUCAUGUCGGAUUAGUUUGUUGGUGGGGUAAAGGCCUACCCCCGCAUCCAUCCCUAGCUGGUCUGAAAGGAUGAUCCGCCCCACUGGGACUGAGACACGGCCCAUACUCCUACGGGAGGCAGCAUUGGGUAAUAUUGCACAAUGGGGGCAACCCUGAUCCCCCCAUUCCGUGUGUGUGAAUAAGGGUUUCAGGAUGUCAGGCACUUUCAACGACGAUGAAGUCAUAUUGGUCACUACCUCCUCUGAAAGACGUUGCUCGCACAAGUACCUCCGGCUAACUCCCUGCCAGCAGCCCUGGUAAUACGGACGGUGCAAGCCUUAAUCUACAUUACUGGACGCAAAGGGCGCGUAUGCAGCCUGUUAAGCUAGAUGUUAAAGCACCGGGCUCGAUUUGCGAACCGCAUUUGUGAACUGGCGGGAUUGUGUGCAGGAGACGCAGGUAGAACUCCUGGUGUCUCGUUCAUAUGCGUUGAGAUCGGGAGGAAUACCCAGUGGCGAAGGCGGCACUCUGCACUGACACUGACGCUGAGGCCGCGAAAGCGUGUGUAGCAAUCAGGAUUAGAUACCCUGGUAGUCCACGCCGUAAACGAUGUCGACCAGCGGUUGGACCCCUUGAGGGUUUAGUGGCGCAGUUAACGCAUUAAGUCGACCGCCUGGGGAGUACGGCCGCAAGGUUAAAACUCAAAUGAAUUGACGGGGGCCCGCACAAGCGGUGGAGCAUGUGGUUUAUUUGGAUGCAACGCGAAGACCCUUACCUACCCUUGACAUCCAGAGAACUUGGCAGAGAUACCUUGGUGCCUUCGGGAACUCUGAGGCAGGUGGUGCAUGGCUGUUGUCAGCUCGUGUUGUGAAAUGUUGGGUUAAGUCCCGUAACGAGCGCAACCCCUAUCCUUAUUUGCCAGCGAUUCGGUCGGGAACUCUAAGGAGACUGCCGGUGACACACCGGAGGAAGGUGGGGAGGACGUCAAGUCAUCAUGGCCCUUACGGGUAGGGCUACACACGUGCUACAAUGGCAGGUACAGAGGGACGCAAAGCGGCGACGUGGAGCCAAUCCCAGAAAGCCUGCCUCAGUCCGGAUUGGAGUCUGCAACUCGACUCCAUGAAGUAGGAAUCGCUAGUAAUCGCGAAUCAGCAUGUCGCGGUGAAUACGUUCCCGGGCCUUGUACACAC